rnacentral:rRNA from 1 species
AUGCAAGUCGAGCGAACUGAUUAGAAGCUUGCUUCUAUGACGCUAGCGGCGGACGGGUGAGUAACACGUGGGCAACCUGCCUGUAAGACUGGGAUAACUUCGGGAAACCGAAGCUAAUACCGGAUAGGAUCUUCUCCUUCAUGGGAGAUGAUUGAAAGAUGGUUUCGGCUAUCACUUACAGAUGGGCCCGCGGUGCAUUAGCUAGUUGGUGAGGUAACGGCUCACCAAGGCAACGAUGCAUAGCCGACCUGAGAGGGUGAUCGGCCACACUGGGACUGAGACACGGUCCAGACUCCUAC